rnacentral:rRNA from 1 species
CCUACGGGUGGCAGCAGUCGAGAAUCAUUCACAAUGGGGGAAACCCUGAUGGUGCGACGCCGCGUGGGGGAAUGAAGGUCUUCGGAUUGUAAACCCCUGUCAUGUGGGAGCAAAUUAAAAAGAUAGUACCACAAGAGGAAGAGACGGCUAACUCUGUGCCAGCAGCCGCGGUAAUACAGAGGUCUUAAGCGUUGUUCGGAAUCACUGGGCGUAAAGCGUGCGUAGGCUGUUUCGUAAGUCGUGUGUGAAAGGCGCGGACUCAACCCGCGGACGGCACAUGAUACUGCGAGACUAGAGUAAUGGAGGGGGAACCGGAAUUCUCGGUGUAGCAGUGAAAUGCGUAGAUAUCGAGAGGAACACUCGUGGCGAAGGCGGGUUCCUGGACAUUAACUGACGCUGAGGCACGAAGGCCAGGGGAGCGAAAGGGAUUAGAUACCCUGGUAGUC